UGGGCACCAAGGCAGACCCCAAGAAAUGAAGCCCAGGCUCUGGUAAUUCCUUGGUGCUGGAUAACCAUGGAUUUUGGAUUCCCCUCACAGCUGAUCAAUGUGCUUUGGCACCUGAAUGGAUGCUUAGAGUUGUCUGUGGCAUUUUAUUCCCAACCAUAAAUUGCAGGAACCAGGGUCGUGGAGGGCUGAAAAUCAGCUGAAUUAUGUUAAAACUGAUCCCAUUGUGAAAUUAUAGAAUAUCCUGAGUUGGAAGGGACCCCCAAGGAUCAUCAAGCACAACUCCUGGCCCUGCACAGGACACACCAACAAUCCCACCAUCUGCCAGUUGAGUAUAACAAGAAAAACAGAGAUUAAAGCACAAUUCUUGGACA